UACCAAUGAUGAUAAAAAAGAAAAGGCUUGUUUCUCCAAACAUUUGCAGUGGCCGCCUGAGUGCUUUCGCCUUCGCCAGGCUUGAGAGCCUUUGAUGUUUAACUCUUCCUUUGGAUGUCUGAGGCC